rnacentral:tRNA from 1 species
GGGGGUAUAGCUCAGUUGGUAGAGCGCUUGAAUGGCAUUCAAGAGGUCAUCGGUUCGAGACCGUUUACCUCCACCA